rnacentral:rRNA from 1 species
GACGAACGCUGGCGGCGUGCUUAACACAUGCAAGUCGAACGGAAAGGCUCCAGCUUGCUGGAGUACUCGAGUGGCGAACGGGUGAGUAACACGUGGGUAAUCUGCCCUGCACUCUGGGAUAAGCCUGGGAAACUGGGUCUAAUACUGGAUAUGACCUUUCUCCUUAUGGGGUUUGGUGGAAAGUUUUUCGGUGUAGGAUGAGCCCGCGGCCUAUCAGCUUGUUGGUGGGGUGAUGGCCUACCAAGGCGACGACGGGUAGCCGGCCUGAGAGGGUGAUCGGCCACAUUGGUACUGAGAUACGGCCCAGACUCCUACGGGAGGCAGCAGUGGGGAAUAUUGCACAAUGGGCGGAAGCCUGAUGCAGCGACGCCGCGUGAGGGAUGACGGCCUUCGGGUUGUAAACCUCUUUCAGCAGGGACGAAGCGUAAGUGACGGUACCUGCAGAAGAAGCACCGGCUAACUAUGUG